GAUGAAGAACGUAGCGAAAUGCGAUAAGUAAUGUGAAUUGCAGAAUUCAGUGAAUCAUCGAAUCUUUGAACGCACAUUGCGCCCGCUAGUAUUCUGGCGGGCAUGCCUGUUCGAGCGUCAUUUCAACCAUCAAGCCCUGCUUGUGUUGGGGUCCUGCGGCUGCCCGCAGGCCCUGAAAACCAGUGGCGGGCUCGCUAGUCACACCGAGCGCAGUAGCACAUCUCGCUCAGGGCGUGCGGCGGGUUCUUGCCGUAAAACACCCCCUUUUUACCAAGGUUGACCUCGGAUCAGGUAGGAAUACCCGCUGAACUUAAGCAUAUCAAUAAGCGGAGG
rnacentral:misc_RNA from 1 species